GAUCCUGGCUCAGAGCGAACGUUAGCGGCGCGCCUAACACAUGCAAGUCGCACGAGAAGGGGGCAACCCUGGACAGUGGCGCACGGGUGCGUAACACGUAGAUAAUCUGCCCUUUGGAGUGGGACAACGUUCCGAAAGGAGCGCUAAUACCGCAUACAGCGUUUUCUGGUUCGCCAGGAGACGGCAAAGGUUGGGACCGGCAACGGCCAAUCGCCGAAGGAGGAGUCUGCGGCCCAUCAGCUAGUUGGUAAGGUAACGGCUUACCAAGGCAAAGACGGGUAGCUGGUCUGAGAGGAUGAUCAGCCACACUGGUACUGGAACACGGACCAGACUCCUACGGGAGGCAGCAGUGGGGAAUCUUGGUCAAUGGGCGCAAGCCUGAACCAGCGACGCCGCGUGAGUGAUGAAGGCCUUCGGGUUGUAAAGCUCUGUGGGGAGGGACGAAAGCCUCGGUUCUAACAGGACUGAGUUUGACGGUACCUCCUUAGCAAGCACCGGCUAACUCUGUGCCAGCAGCCGCGGUAA
rnacentral:rRNA from 1 species